GUGCCCACUUUGGCAGCACAUGUACUAAAAUUGGAAUGAUGCAGAGAAGAUAAUCAUGGCCCCUGCCCAAGGAUGACACAAAAACUCAUAAAGCAUUCCAUAGUUUU
rnacentral:snRNA from 1 species